CUACGCAGUCAUUCAGCUAUCCAUAUCUCCUCGUAUGUUCUAACCAGUAUGUGCUACUAGUAAACUGCGAAUGGCUCAUUACAACAGUUAUACGUUUAUUUGAUACAUCAAAUGGAUAACUGUAGAAAAACUAGAGCUAAUACAUGCUAAGGCCGCAAGGUCGUAUUUAUUAGAUAUUCCGAUAAGGUGAAUCAUAAUAACUUCGCAAAUCUCAUCUAUGAUUGAGAUAAAUCAUCCAAGUUUCUGCCCUAUCAUGCUUUCGUUGGUAGUGUAUUGGACUACCAUGUGUUCUCAUAGUGGGCUACAGGGAAUUAGGGUUCGAUUCUUGGAGAAGGAGCCUGAGAAACGGCUACUACAUCUACGGAAGGCAGCAGGCGCGUAAAUUACCCAAUCCUGACUCAGGGAGGUGGUGACAAGAUAUAACAACGCGAUUAAAAUCGCGAUUGUAGUGAGGGUAUUCUAAACAGAACCUAUAGUACGAUUAGAGGGCAAGUCUGGUGCCAGCAGCCGCGGUAUUCCAGCUCUAUAGCGUAUAUAAAGUUGCUGCAGUUAAAAGCUCGUAGUGGAUUCAGAUACCAUCUAUGAUGGUACCUACUAGCAGUAUGCUGUACUGUGAAAAUAAGUGUUAGCAGUCUGCAAAACUUAACUGAACCAAGACUGAUUGUAUCUGUCCCUAUAAAAGUGGGCUAUUUUUCAGAAUUGUGUAAAUGGAUCGGUUACUGGGGGGCACUAUACUGUGGA
rnacentral:rRNA from 1 species